ACCUGAACAGCUGGACGUCCCAGGUCUCCCUGUCCUCCGGGAACGUGACGGGCGAGGGGGGAAUGAUGGUGUCCGAGAGAUCCCUGAGCUGCACCAGGAGGUCCUUCCCCCCCUGCUUCCUCCAUCGCUGCUCGAAGUUGUACAGCACGUCCCAGGCGAUGGGGCCUUCCAGUCUGCUGUGUAUAUCGUGCCACGGCUCCCUCGGCCCGCCCUUGGCGACGGACGCGCCGGUGAAGUUGGGCUGGUGGAAGUCAUCAUGGUGGGUGCUGUCCAGGGUCCGGAAGAGCGAAUGGGAGGGGGUGUCGUACCUCCCAUCGCAGAGGUCGAUGCCCCCGACGAAGCUCACGAUCCUGCGCUGCCGCGACGAGCCCCCGCCCCUGGGCAUCGCGCUGUCCACGACCACGAUCUUCUGGUGGUGAGUGAACAUGGUGGAGAUCUGCAGGUCCUGGACGAAGCUCCCGCCAUCGUCGGGGUUGCGCGGGCACAGGAUGCAGUUCACCUCCGUCCCCUGGAAAUAGUUCUCC
rnacentral:lncRNA from 1 species